AGCACGCUUCCACUGCGUCAAAAGUCGUCGAGUGAAGGAAGACUAGGAAAAAGCCGGAAAAUUGAGAAAUUAUUGCGAGACGAAUUUGCACAGCGGGAACACCACAGGAGAACAAUAGGAGAGAACCGAAGACGCUCACAUCAGAAAUCUGAUUAGUUAAAUUGUUAGACAAUCGAUCUGAUUGGCCGAAAUGUCAGUUUUAAAAGAAAUCAUAGACAGAUGCAGUCAAGCAUUGUCCAUUGAUGAGGAGGACAUUCAGGCCACAAUAAAAUUAGACGAGCACCUUUUCACAGUGCAGUUUGCGGCCGGAGAGAGUGUAGUACUCA